rnacentral:rRNA from 1 species
UACGGAGGGGGCUAGCGUUGUUCGGAAUUACUGGGCGUAAAGCGCACGUAGGCGGCUUUGCAAGUUAGAGGUGAAAGCCCGGGGCUCAACUCCGGAAUUGCCUUUAAAACUGCAUCGCUAGAAUUGUGGAGAGGUAAGUGGAAUUCCGAGUGUAGAGGUGAAAUUCGUAGAGAUCGGGAGGAAUACCAGAGGCGAAGGCGGCGAACUGGACAGUUACUGACACUCAACUACGAAAGCGUGGGGAGCAAACAGG